rnacentral:rRNA from 1 species
CCCGCUCAGAACUUAAAGGAAGUUGACGGGGCCCGCACAAGCGGAGGAGCAUGUGGUUUAAUUCGAUGAUACGCGAGGAACCUUACCUGGGCUCGAACGUAAGAUGACUGUAGGUGAAAGCUUACAUCUCUUCGGAGCAUUUUACGAGGUGCUGCAUGGUUGUCGUCAGCUCGUGCCGUGAGGUGUCGGGUUAAGUCCCAUAACGAGCGCAACCCCUACCUUUAGUUGCCAUCAGGUAAUGCUGGGGACUCUAAAGGAACUGCCUACGCAAGUAGUGAGGAAGGCGGGGAUGACGUCAAAUCAGCACGGCCCUUACGUCCAGGGCUACACACGUGCUACAAUGGCCGGUACAGAGCGCAGCGAAGCCGCGAGGCAAAGCGAAUCGCAAAAAGCCGGUCUCAGUACGGAUUGGAGUCUGAAACCCGACUCCAUGAAGUUGGAAUCGCUAGUAAUCGCGCAUCAGCAUGGCGCGGUGAAUACGUUCCCGGGCCUU